GAUGAACGCUGGCGGCGUGCCUAAUACAUGCAAGUCGAGCGAACGGACGAGAAGCUUGCUUCUCUGAUGUUAGCGGCGGACGGGUGAGUAACACGUGGAUAACCUACCUAUAAGACUGGGAUAACUUCGGGAAACCGGAGCUAAUACCUGAUAAUAUUUUGAACCGCAUGGUUCAAAAGUGAAAGACGGUCUUGCUGUCACUUAUAGAUGGAUCCGCGCUGCAUUAGCUAGUUGGUAAGGUAACGGCUUACCAAGGCAACGAUGCAUAGCCGACCUGAGAGGGUGAUCGGCCACACUGGAACUGAGACACGGUCCAGACUCCUACGGGAGGCAGCAGUAGGGAAUCUUCCGCAAUGGGCGAAAGCCUGACGGAGCAACGCCGCGUGAGUGAUGAAGGUCUUCGGAUCGUAAAACUCUGUUAUUAGGGAAGAACAUAUGUGUAAGUAACUGUGCACAUCUUGACGGUACCUAAUCAGAAAGCCACGGCUAACUACGUGCCAGCAGCCGCGGUAAUACGUAGGUGGCAAGCGUUAUCCGGAAUUAUUGGGCGUAAAGCGCGCGUAGGCGGUUUUUUAAGUCUGAUGUGAAAGCCCACGGCUCAACCGUGGAGGGUCAUUGGAAACUGGAAAACUUGAGUGCAGAAGAGGAAAGUGGAAUUCCAUGUGUAGCGGUGAAAUGCGCAGAGAUAUGGAGGAACACCAGUGGCGAAGGCGACUUUCUGGUCUGUAACUGACGCUGAUGUGCGAAAGCGUGGGGAUCAAACAGGAUUAGAUACCCUGGUAGUCCACGCCGUAAACGAUGAGUGCUAAGUGUUAGGGGGUUUCCGCCCCUUAGUGCUGCAGCUAACGCAUUAAGCACUCCGCCUGGGGAGUACGACCGCAAGGUUGAAACUCAAAGGAAUUGACGGGGACCCGCACAAGCGGUGGAGCAUGUGGUUUAAUUCGAAGCAACGCGAAGAACCUUACCAAAUCUUGACAUCCUUUGACAACUCUAGAGAUAGAGCCUUCCCCUUCGGGGGACAAAGUGACAGGUGGUGCAUGGUUGUCGUCAGCUCGUGUCGUGGGAUGUUGGGUUAAGUCCCGCAACGAGCGCAACCCUUAAGCUUAGUUGCCAUCAUUAAGUUGGGCACUCUAAGUUGACUGCCGGUGACAAACCGGAGGAAGGUGGGGAUGACGUCAAAUCAUCAUGCCCCUUAUGAUUUGGGCUACACACGUGCUACAAUGGACAAUACAAAGGGCAGCGAAACCGCGAGGUCAAGCAAAUCCCAUAAAGUUGUUCUCAGUUCGGAUUGUAGUCUGCAACUCGACUACAUGAAGCUGGAAUCGCUAGUAAUCGUAGAUCAGCAUGCUACGGUGAAUACGUUCCCGGGUCU
rnacentral:rRNA from 1 species